rnacentral:rRNA from 1 species
AUUGAACGCUGGCGGCAGGCCUAACACAUGCAAGUCGAGCGAGCGGCGGACGGGUGAGUAAUGUCUGGGAAACUGCCUGAUGGAGGGGGAUAACUCCUGGAAACGGUAGCUAAUAACGCAUACCAUCAGAUGUGCCCAGAUGGGAUUCGCUAGUAGGUGGGGUAAUGGCGCACCUAGGCGAAGAUCCCUAGCUGGUCUGAGAGGAUGACCAGCAACACUGGAACUGUGACGCUGGCCAUACGCCUACGGGAGGCACCAGUGGGGAAUAUUGCACAAGGGGCGCAAGCCUGAUGCAGCCAUUCCGCGUGUGUGAAGAAGGCCUUCGGGGUGUAAAGCACGUUCAGCGGGGAGGCGUUACCCGCAGAAGAAGCACCGGCUAACUCCGUGCCAGCCGCCGCGGUAAUAC